AGCACGGACGCUCUCCCUGGGGACACACGUGGGAAAUCAUCAGCCACGCUGGAAUCAGUGCAUUGCACUGCCUAUACCCUGGCAGUUGAGCUAACCUUACAAUUGACUUACCAAGGCUGUCCUCCUGUGCCCCAGUAAAAUUGGAUAUACAUUUUAUGUAUAGCUAUGAGCCCGUUCUAAACAAAUAUAUCCCCCUCCUUGCGCCAAAGAAGGUAUUCAACUGGGUCUCCGGCUUGUUCAAUUGACCAGUCUGGGUGAGUUUUUCACUCCAUUAUAAGGCAUGCUACUUGGAUUAUAUUAUAAAAUAUUUACAACCAUUGUAUAAACUUGCUUGUAUAUUUAUAUGUUUUAUGCAUAUCUUGUAGACAAACCCCCUCCUGAAGAAGCGGUACACUACCGCGAAACCGGUCGAGGCGAUCAACUCCUUACACGCAGAUAUAGUUUGUGUUUAACUUACUGUUGUGCAAUGUGGGGAUUGUCUUUAAAUGUUGUUUUAUGAUACCUGUUUUAUGUUCAAUAAAUACUUGUUAUUUUUUACGUAAUUGUGUUUAACCAGUGCCGUGAAUAGUCCCCCCCAAAAUCCCUUUUUUCCCUUUCCCUUGACCUAGUUGGUGACAAACUUUUGGUUUCAAGCAGCCAAUGGUGUCUCAAUUAAUCAGGUCUAUUU